UACAGAGGUCUCAAGCGUUGUUCGGAUUCAUUGGGCGUAAAGGGUGCGUAGGUGGCGCUGUAAGUCAGGUGUGAAAUUUCGGAGCUUAACUCCGAAACUGCAUUUGAUACUGCGGUGCUUGAGGACUGGAGAGGAGAUUGGAAUUCACAGUGGAGCAGUGAAAUGCGUAGAUAUUGUGAGGAACACUAGUGGCGAAGGCGAAUCUCUGGACAGUUCCUGACGCUGAGGCACGAAGGCCAGGGGAGCAAACGGG
rnacentral:rRNA from 1 species